AAAAGAAAAGAGACAUUUCAAGGCAUAAAUUUUUAUUAUCCCAUUUUCCAUGAAUAAAUUUAUCCAUCAAAGUAAACGCACCCGAAGUAAUCUGACAGCCCGUGUUUAUAUGGGCACCUAAUAAAUUUCAUGUUCACCUUCAGUAAAACAUACUAUAACUGAAAGAAAGCCUCUGAUACCUUAUUUCCUAUGAUCAAUAUCCCUCCUCUAAUUUACACAGACAAUUAUACCAUUUCUUCAACACCCCUAUGUGGCUGCAGCAAUGGUGAGUUCAUGAAUUGCUCGUGGUGGUGUGGCGAUUCGUGCCUAAAUCUCAGAGAAAUCCCUUUGUUUUUUCUGGCUUUUAGCUCUCACGCCAACAAUAGUGCUCUGAUAUAUCAAGUCCCAAAAUUCAGUUAUCAACAAAAAUUAUGGCAUAGUCAAAGCAUAACAAUGGAAGGAAAAUUCAAGAUUUUGGGGAUUCAAUUAAUAGUGUUGGAAAGCAGCAAUAUUUCUGUGUCAAUAAUUCGAAAAGGAAGUGAGGAAAUUGUUCAACUGCAAUUCGUUAUGGUAUAGUCAAAGCUGUGAGAGUUUUAUGAAACUCACCUGGAGAAGAUAGUGAGUCGUAUUCUCAUAUUAAAAGGUCUGUCAAUUAAAAGGAGAAUUUCUUUCUGUAAACCAAACCAUUGGUUGAGGUUUGGCCGUCUGGUUUUGGUGAAAGGCAGCGGUGUAUUGGUUAAAAUUUUGGUGAAAGGCGGUGCAAGAGCAUCUCCACCGCGACUGCGCUGCUGUGGGGGUGGGGGUUUUGAUG
rnacentral:lncRNA from 1 species